rnacentral:lncRNA from 1 species
AUGAAGAUUAAACAAGAGGAGGCCCUGAAGGAGACUCUCAGAGAGCAGUCACAGCCAGUUUCCAUUGUUACAUCCCUUACAGACAACUCUAUCCACCUUGAUCACGAGUUCCUGUGUUUUGAGAACAAACCCCUCAAGCAAGAUUAUCAGCGGGAGCCCACCUACAAAUGGCAGUGCUCAGAAUCGGAACACGUGACACUUCUUGGGAGAGCAGCUCUAGGGGAGGCUAUAAAACCAGUUCCAGGUUCUGGUCUCAGGAAACUUCAGAGAGCUCUUGGGAAGAGGUAG